rnacentral:rRNA from 1 species
CGGCGUGCCUAAUACAUGCAAGUCGAACGAGGCCCCCACCUUCGGGUGGGAUGUCCUAGUGGCGAACGGGUGAGUAUCACGUUGGUGACCUACCCCGAAGAGGGGGACAACUCCGGGAAACUGGAGCUAAUACCCCAUGUGAUCCUAAGGACUAGAUGCCUAAGGAUGAAAGGGAGCAAUCCGCUUCGGGAGGGGCCUGCGGCCUAUCAGCUAGUUGGUGAGGUAAUGGCUCACCAAGGCGACGACGGGUAGGGGACCUGGGAGGGUGAUCCCCCACACUGGAACUGAAACACGGACCAGACACCUACGGGUGGCAGCAGUAGGGAAUAUUGCACAAUGGGCGAAAGCCUGAUGCAGCAACGCCGCGUGCGCGAUGAAGGCCUUCGGGUUGUAAAGCGCUUUUCUGGGGGACGAGAAAGGACGGUACCCCAGGAAUAAGUCUCGGCUAACUACGUG